rnacentral:rRNA from 1 species
AGCGGCGUAAAGGGGUGUAGGCCGACUGCCCCCCCCCCCCAAGGUGGAAAUGUUUUUCUGUACGGUAGAAUGUACGGAUAGAAAAUAGAACCCCAAAAGCUGAAGCAAUUUACCGCGGGGCGGGAGGGGGGGGCCCCCUGGGGCGCCCUCCCGGGCUACGGGCUGAAACACGAGGGUGUGGGGAACAAACAGGAUUAGAGACCCUGGUAGUCCACACUGUAAACGAUGGAGAAAAUGCGAAUGCAGCCCCGAAAGGCAGCAAUCUCCCGCCUGAGUAGUACGAUCGCAAGGUUAAAAUUCAAAAAAUUUGGCUGUUCACCGUUUCGAUUAGAGGAGCGUGUAGUUUAAUUCGAUAAACCGCGAGAUACCUUACCCAAACUUGAAUCCUUGAGGAUUCCAAAGAAUCCUUAUGGACCGGUAUUGCAUGGCCGUCGUCAGUUCGUGUAUGAAACCUUAAACGGACCAACCCGAGGAUUGGCCGCGGAUGAAGUCAGGUCUUAUGGUCCCAAUGUUUGGGGAUAAUAUGCGCUACAUUUUCUUAUACAAUGGGAAACCUGGGAGGUGAAACCCAAAAGUGAGAGUUCGGUAGGCUAUUGGA